rnacentral:rRNA from 1 species
UGGGGAAUAUUGCACAAUGGGCGAAAGCCUGAUGCAGCAACGCCGCGUGAGUGAUGAAGGUCUUCGGAUUGUAAAGCUCUGUCUUUUGGGACGAUAAUGACGGUACCAAAGGAGGAAGCCACGGCUAACUACGUGCCAGCAGCCGCGGUAAUACGUAGGUGGCGAGCGUUGUCCGGAUUUACUGGGCGUAAAGGGUGCGUAGGCGGAUGUUUAAGUGAGAUGUGGAAUACCCGGGCUUAACUUGGGUGCUGCAUUUCAAACUGGAUAUCUAGAGUGCAGGAGAGGAGAAUGGAAUUCCUAGUGUAGCGGUGAAAUGCGUAGAGAUUAGGAAGAACACCAGUGGCGAAGGCGAUUCUCUGGACUGUAACUGACGCUGAGGCACGAAAGCGUGGGUAGCAAACAGGAUUAGAUACCCUGGUAGUCCACGCCGUAAACGAUGAGUACUAGGUGUAGGAGGUAUCGACCCCUUCUGUGCCGCAGUAAACACAU